AAUGCUGGCCCGGUCCCUGAUUGAUCACCAGCUUGGAAGAGAGGACUUUUGCACCAAGGCCUGCUGACUGGAAACAUACUAAAAAGAUGUCCCCUCUGUAGCCACUUUUCUUUGAUUCAGUAGUGGCUUGAUUUACCUGGACUUCUAGGCUACUGGGAGCCAGCAGGUGGUGGAAAGAUGAAUAAAAGCUGUGCUGAAUCUGGGGAACCAGCUAGAGCCACAGAUUCACCAAAGAGCAAAGGGGAAGAUGGUCUAAUGUGAGUUGGAAUAAGUCUGUGUUUUCUGUGAGCUGCACACUCGCCACGUGAGAAACCUCUCAGCCCAGAAUAGACAUGGGUCUCUCUCUUCAGUAUACUCUGCAGACAUCAAUGACAAAUAUGAAGUAUUACCUGUGAAAAGGACAAUACAUCUCACUUCCAGGCUUCCAGAAUAUUCCUAAGAGUCCUUCAGCAGGUUGGACUCUACUGCACUGUAUAGCGCGUGUGAUCGGCUGCACCUCGUCCGCGAAGUAGCCUCCGAGAACGUCUGGAUUUGGACAUGCACCUGCCUCCUGGCUUCCGUUACCACAGGGGCGCGGGCCCCUCCGACGCCCCGUAGAGCUCCGCCAGCUUCCGAAAGCGGGGUCCCCAGUCGGUGAGGAAGUCGAAGCUCUGCUCUGAGUCUGAGGUGGCCGAUUGCAGGGAGCUCAGAGACCCCGCCACGGAGCCAUCACCCUCGAACAUGUAUGUCUGCAGGGAGUCAAAGGGUGGGGCCCACAGGUCCAUGUCGGCCUCGUAGAGUUUGGCCAGCACGUAGCUGUGGACGGUGCUGUUGACGGCGCACGUCUGAGGCACGUAGCGGGAGAGGCUCUCGAUCUCGGGCAGCAUGUCCUGCCGCAUCUUGGGGGCGGCUCCCGCCUGCGCCUCCCGCGGGUUCCACAUGGCCGCGAUGUCAAAGGCCUCGGUGUCCUCCUCGCCGCCGCCCUCGUCGUCGUAGCGGACGAUGUUUUCAUGGAUGUUCUCCUCGUCGUCGAUGAUGUACGGCUGCUUCCGGUGCCGCCUCAUGGACAGGAUGAGCAGCACCAGAACUGCCGGGACAGAGGAACAGGACGUUUAUGCUGGUGAAUAGUGACAGUUUGACAGCACUGCAAAAUAAGACUCCAGUUUAUCCAAGGAAAAAAAUAGUGGCAUAUACUCAUAUUCAGUAAGAGAUUACAGACCAUAUAACAAAGUUCACAACAAUGACUUUUAAAGUAUUUGAAUGUAGAAUGAGCUUUUCAUAUAAAUAGCAGUUAAUUGUAAAUAACUUUUUUGUGAUUAACUUGGUUGAUAAAAUGCACAAAUACUUGUAUGUAUUUUUCCUGUGUGUAAAAACAUGAGGUAUAGACUAGAACUAUAGGAUUUCAGGGAAAGAAGCUAGAAGAACUUUAAAGAAGUGGGACUUCGAACUGAGCAUCCAAUACUGGAAUGUAAUUUGAAUUGAAGGCAGAUGGAAAAAUGGGAGUCUAAGUGAACAUGCUUUAUUUGUGGGAUUCAGUAAACAGUUACUAAAACCUAAA